GGAAUUUUCCUACGCUGUGUAAUUUGACUCAUAACACUCUGGUGAUUAAGUAACCAGAGUGUUAUGAGUCAAAUUACACAGCGUGGAAAA